GCGUAUUAAUGUUCAAGAUUUAAAUGAAAUAUUUUGAUAUUUUAUAUAUUAAUUUAAAAAUGAAAAUGUAAUUGAAGAAAAAAAAAAGUUUUUAUCAUGGUGUUUGAUAAGAGUCUUAUCUUACGUAGUUUUUUUUAAAAAAAAUAUUUUUGCGUUGAUUGAUUUUAAUUGAUUAAAAAAUAUAUUGAAUGCGAAUAAAAAAGAUUAUGACAAUUCAAUUUUUG
rnacentral:lncRNA from 1 species